UACGUAGGGUGCAAGCGUUGUCCGGAAUUAUUGGGCGUAAAGAGCUCGUAGGCGGUCUGUCGCGUCGGAUGUGAAAAUCCAGGGCUCAACCCUGGACCUGCAUUCGAUACGGGCAGACUAGAGUUCGGUAGGGGAGACUGGAAUUCCUGGUGUAGCGGUGAAAUGCGCAGAUAUCAGGAGGAACACCAAUAGCGAAGGCAGCUCGCUGGGACGUUACUGACACUGAGGCGCGAAAGCGUGGGGAGCGAACAGG
rnacentral:rRNA from 1 species